rnacentral:rRNA from 1 species
CCUACGGGUGGCAGCAGUGAGGAAUAUUGGUCAAUGGUCGGGAGACUGAACCAGCCAAGCCGCGUGAGGGAUGAAGGUACAGAGUAUCGUAAACCUCUUUUGUCAGGGAACAAAGGCGGGUACGCGUCCCCGGAUGAGUGUACCUGAAGAAAAAGCAUCGGCUAACUCCGUGCCAGCAGCCGCGGUAAUACGGAGGAUGCGCGCGUUAUCCGGAUUUCUUGGGGUUAAAGGGUGCGCAGGGGGCCGGUUAAGUAAGCGGUCAGAACCCGGGGCUCAACCCCGGCCCGCCGUUGAAACUGGCAGUCUCGAGUUGGAGAGAAGUAUGCGGAAUGCGCGGUGUAGCGGUGAAAUGCAUAGAUAUCGCGCAGAACUCCGAUUGCGAAGGCAGCAUGCCGGCUCCACACUGACGCUGAGGCACGAAAGCGUGGGUAUCGAACAGGAUUAGAUACCCGGGUAGUC